AUUGAACGCUGGCGGCAUGCUUUACACAUGCAAGUCGAACGGCAGCGCGGGCUUCGGCCUGGCGGCGAGUGGCGAACGGGUGAGUAAUGCAUCGGAACGUGCCCAGUAGUGGGGGAUAGCCCGGCGAAAGCCGGAUUAAUACCGCAUACGACCUGAGGGUGAAAGCGGGGGACCGAAAGGCCUCGCGCUAUUGGAGCGGCCGAUGUCGGAUUAGCUAGUUGGUGGGGUAAAGGCUUACCAAGGCGACGAUCCGUAGCUGGUCUGAGAGGACGACCAGCCACACUGGGACUGAGGAACGGCCCAGACUCCUACGGGAGGCAGCAGUGGGGAAUUUUGGACAAUGGGGGCAACCCUGAUCCAGCCAUGCCGCGUGCGGGAAGAAGGCCUUCGGGUUGUAAACCGCUUUUGUUCGGGAAGAAAUCCUCUGGGCUAAUACCCCGGGGGGAUGACGGUACCGGAAGAAUAAGCACCGGCUAACUACGUG
rnacentral:rRNA from 1 species